AUGGUGGUGUGGAGGGAGAGCUACCUGGACCUCAUCCUGAUCCCGCUGGGGCUGCUCCUCCCGGCGCUGUACCACGCCUGGCUGUGGCGGGCCGUGCGGCGCCGCCCGCUCACCACGGCCUUCGGGGUCUACUCGGCGGCACGCAGGCUGUGGGCGGCCGGCAUGAUGCGAGACAACGACGACAAGAAGGGGGUGCUGGUGGUGCAGUCCAUCCGGAACGUCAUCAUGGGGUCCACGCUCAUGGCCACCACCUCGGUGCUCUUCUGCACCGGCAUCGCCGCCGUGCUCAGCAGCACCUACUCCGUCAAGAAGCCGCUGAGCGACGCCGUGUUCGGCGCGCACGGGGAGUACAUGAUGGCGCUCAACUUCCUCAUCAACACCUCCUGCCUCCCCCUCCCCGACGCCGAAAAGGACGACGACGGCGCCCGCCUGGUCGGCCUGCAGCUGCCGGCCGGCGCCGUGGGCGACUACGUGGGCGAGAUCCUCGAGAGGAGCUUCACGCUCAACUUCGUGGGCAACAGGCUCUUCUACGCCGGGGUGCCCCUCCUGCUCUGGAUCUUCGGCCCGCUGCUCGCCUUCCUCUCCGCCCUGGUCAUGAUCCCCAUACUCUACAACCUCGACAUGGUGCACGUCGCCGCCGACAGAGGAACGAAGGAGCACAGCAGCGGCUGCGUCAACGGCAAGGCGAAGGGGAAUGGCUGCAUGCAAGUCUGA
rnacentral:rRNA from 1 species